ACGCGAUAUUUAAAUAAAAUAAAACUGAACAAUUUUACGAAGCGAUAAGCAUGGCAAAACAGGUAAAGUCGGCCUACCACCUGAACACUUUCCCAACACACAUAAUCAACAAAGAAAAUCAAUAAGACAGAGACAAACAAAUCAAUACAGUGUGUAAGCAAACACUGAGCAUGCCGUUCACAGAUGGGCAAAUCAAUCAGCAGCAAACACAAGAAGAGGCUGCGUCUCACUAGUAAUAGAAAAAAAUGUGAGUUAAACCGCAAAGAACCUGCAAAGUGUAUCCCUGUGGUGGGGGAUGGUGGAAGUGAAGCAUUACCAAGCACCAGGAGGGCCACCUCAAUAGGGAAGCCCACAGCCUGCUGAGAGCAGUAGGACUUUGGAAAGCAGUGUAAUGUUAACUAGGAUCUUGAGAAUGGGCACAACUUGUGCCCAGAGCUUUCACAAGUGUACCUUGUGUACCCUAACGCUCCACUUCUGACUCUCAAGCACUGAAGUUGGAAACGCGGUAGCAAUACUAAUUCUCAGCUGGGGUGUGAUGGUGGCGGCAAGAGAAUCGGGAGCUCAAGGCUACGGGAGACUCUUCCUAAGUAAAUAAAAUAAAGGCAAAGCAGGAGGGAGUAUAAGUUUUUCUGUCCCAGCCCAGGCUUGCGUAGUGGGAGUUGUAGUCUCAUAAUCUUCCAAAUCUGAAGACCUGAAGUAGGUAGCAAGUGUUGAUGCAGAAGGAUGAGUAAGCUGCUUGGGGUUACUGUGGUUGAGGAAAAUCUGUGAAAACAACUGUUUAACAUUGAUGAAAUGAUCCUGUCUUGGAAGCACAAAGACUAUGCAUUUAAAGACUGUGAGAUGCUGCUUUUGGGUGGAGAUGUUGCAGGCUACAAAUAAAAAUCCUCCUACAGCUAAAGAAGACAAGAACAUUCAAGAAUAUGAGCAAGCAUACUUUCCCUGUUCAUUAUCACCAGAAAGAGAGAGCCUGGGUAACACCAGCAUUGCCUAAGGACUGGUUUUUGAACUGUUUUAUACUAUAGACAAGAAUAUUCUAUAAACAAGGACAGCAUUUCAUUCAAGAGUCUUCUGGUCUGAUGGAUAGCCAUAGCACAUGGGCACCAUCCAUACUAGCGUAAAGGCUCUGUGUCUACCACCAACUUAACUGCAUUCGUUCAGCCGACCAAUGGACCAAUGCGAGAGCUUUAGCCAAAGCAUCCUAUUUACAGCGAAUGGUUGUAUAAGUCAUCAGAAGCGAUCAAAUAUGGAUGAAAGCUGCCAGGAUCCUUGAAUAAUAUUAACAUUCUGCUGUCCAAAAUGCUACAGAGAGAGAACUUACACCAGACACACUAUAGGAAGAACAAUUUAAAAACACAUCCAAAGGUUAAGGUUGUCCUCAAUGCACGAGGCUUAUUAGCACCUUAGUAAGCUGGAUGGCAGGAGUCUGAGGUAAAAAGCUUCAGUCACAGCUUUGUUUGGCAAGAUUUCUACUCUCAACGGUUUCUGUGAGGAAGCAGGCUUAAUUAGUACGUGACCUAAGACUUGUAACAGACUUAGGCUAACAGUUAGUUGGGAAACUUCCAGAACUGACCGCUGGUAAAGAUCUUCACAAGCCCCUUGGCAUGGAGACUGAAGAGCUUCCAAUGAUGAACUGAAGGAAUCGGAUGACAACAAAAACCACAACAUGGAAGAAAAGGAAGAAUUUAAAGCAAGAAGAUUCACAACAAAGACCCUGGCAGUGGGACAGGACACUCUCAACAAAGGGGACAGAUAUCAGAUAAGGUGGACAACACUGGUUCACGGGAUCAGACAGACGCAGGCUGCUCUUGCUCACCAUGAAGAAACAACAUCAAAGGGGGGGGGGGGGGGACAAAUGGCGCAGUCAACACUUGGCAUCUGCCCAAAGAAUCCUGCACCUGCUCAAACAGUGGGUGUUGACACCUUUGCACCUUCUGCUUCCUGGACUUGAGUCUCAUCAGAAAAGGGAGAAAUUGAUGAUUACGCCAUCAUAGCACCCAGCCAGUGAUCUUAGUGAGAUGGUUUCAAUAUCCUCAAGCCCGCAUGUACCUUCAGCUCUGUGGCUUAAUGGUAGGAACCUGUUCAACCGUUCUGGAUUUCACUUUCCACACAUCAUGUAAGCAGCCUCACAGGAUUCUUCAGCAUCCUUGAGCCUGGUUCAGACAGAAGAUCCAGAUCCUUUCAUAUUAAGCUCAGGAUGUGGUCCAACAGCAGAGACAGUCUACCAAAAGGAGCCUAGUUUCCACCAGCAAGGGAGUCUAUGGCUCUGAUGGACAGCCAGGAUUAGCUGCCCUAUUUGACACCCAACUCGCUUUAGGGUAAAGAAUACCCAUUUCUCCCCUUUUCACCUAGUUCUGGUCCGGAGUAUUUUAAACAAAGACUGUACCCUACUUGGAACUGCAAUGUCUCAGCCUGUGACCAGCCAAACCCACCCAUUCUCAUUGAGAACUGUACCAGGCUGUGCGAAGUUAAAAAAUCACCUCCCAUCCCCCUUCACCUCAUCUCCUUCCUGUCUCUCACCUCCAGCCUACCAUGAUGGAGUCUGACGCUGAGUAGACCUGCAAAGACACAGUUCCUGUAGCACAAUUAAUAAGAACCCAGAGAGAGAUGCUGGGGUUCAACCUGAA